CUCCAGACUCCUACGGGAGGCAGCAGUGGGGGAUAUUGGACAAUGGGGGAAACCCUGAUCCAGCGAUGCCGCGUGAGGGAAGAAGGUUUUCGGAUUGUAAACCUCUGUGGACAGGGACGAUAAUGACGGUACCUGUCAAGAAAGCCACGGCUAACUACGUGCCAGCAGCCGCGGUAAUACGUAGGGGGCGAGCGUUAUCCGGAUUUACUGGGUGUAAAGGGAGCGUAGACGGUUCUGCAAGUCUGAAGUGAAAGCCCGUGGCUUAACCGCGGAACGGCUUUGGAAACUGUGGAACUGGAGUGCUGGAGAGGCAAGCGGAAUUCCUAGUGUAGCGGUGAAAUGCGUAGAUAUUAGGAGGAACACCAGUGGCGAAGGCGGCUUGCUGGACAGUAACUGACGUUGAGGCUCGAAAGCGUGGGGAGCAAACAGGAUUAGAUACCCCUGUA
rnacentral:rRNA from 1 species